CUAGCUGUAUGGAUUUAAUUUGCACCCAUGACCUAUCUGUCUCUAGAGAUCACCUAAUGCCAUGUGAUUUGUGCUAGGAAUCCAUAAAUGAUCUGUCCUCCGGCAGCCACUGCAUCAAAUCUGUCUACUUCCAGUGGACUUUGGAAUGUUGAAAUGAGUGUAUAGUGCUGCCACCUCUCCUCCGACCUGCAUCAGACCUGCUGAGCCUGAACCAUACAGGUAAGCUUCCUUUCCACUACCCACCUUCCCUGCUUACUGAGACCUCUGAAGCAAGCAGAGUUGCCCUGAGCAGCCUGCUAUCACAGGGGACCUCUAUUACCCUGCUACCUCUCCUCUCACCAUCAUCAGACCUGCUGAACCUGAAUCAUACAGACCUGUAGAUCCUGAACCAUACAGACUUGCAGAUCCAGCACCAGACAAUACAAGGAUAUUCAUCAGAGGCCUGCCACACCAGUACCAUGGAGGUUAACCCCCUCCCAAUACCUACUACAAAAGAAACAUCUAGGGACCAAAGCCAUCCAGAUUAUUAAAGGUCCUCAAAAGAACACAAUCAACAAAAGCCAGC
rnacentral:lncRNA from 1 species